rnacentral:lncRNA from 1 species
GGCGUUAGCCCCGCGCCACCCCUGAGGGCCCGGCGCCACCGAAGUCCCACGCCGCCGCCGCCUGACACGCCCCCGUGCGCGGGCAGCCAAGCCAGGCCGGGCCGGGCCGGGCCGGGCCGGGCGGGGCGGGGCACGAGCGCCGUUGUUCAGGGAGGGCGGGACGGGGGCGUUACCUCGAGGCGGCUCCAGACAGCCGCGGCCCAGCCCGUCCCGGCGGUGCAGCCUCGGCGCGCUGCGCGGCCGUUGUGGGUUGGCGGAGCGGAACGGCACUUCCGGGCACAUGAUCCCUUCUCGAGCGCCGCUUUCUGUUGCCUGGGCGACGGCAGCUGCAGCCUGGUGGCGGCGUUUGAGAACCUCGUAUGAGAGCUGUCUUUCCGGCAGCGCUCGCCUGUGGUUCUCGCCUCUACGCCCUGUCAGGUCCCAACAAUCAGAGCGGGGCUGUUGA